rnacentral:rRNA from 1 species
GGCUGUCCGAGUUGUAAUCUAGAGAAGUAAUGCCCGUGCUGGACCGUGUAYAAGUCUCCUGRGAUGGGGCGUCAUAGAGGGUGAGAAUCCCGUCUUUGACASGGAUUACCAGUGCAUUGUGGUAUGCUCUCAAAGAGUCGAGUUGUUUGGGAAUGCAGCUCAAAAUGGGUGGUAAAUUCCAUCUAAAGCUAAAUAUUGGCGAGAGACCGAUAGCGAACAAGUACCGUGAGGGAAAGAUGAAAAGAACUUUGGAAAGAGAGUUAAACAGUACGUGAAAUUGCUGAAAGGGAAACGCUUGAAGUCAGUCGCGUUGGCCGGGGAUCAGCCUUGCUUUU